AACGAACGCUGGCGGCGUGCUUAACACAUGCAAGUCGUACGAGAAAGUCUCUUCGGAGAUGAGUAAAGUGGCGCACGGGUGAGUAACACGUAGGUAACCUACCUCAGGGACCGGGACAACCCGCCGAAAGGAGGGCUAAUACCGGAUUAGACCACGGGGGCUUCGGCUCCAGCGGUAAAAGUUGGCCUCUGCACGCAAGCUAACACCAAGAGAUGGGCCUGCGGACCAUUAGCUUGUUGGUGGGGUAAUGGCCUACCAAGGCUGAGAUGGAUAGCUGGUCUGAGAGGAUGAUCAGCCACACUGGGACUGAGACACGGCCCAGACUCCUACGGGAGGCAGCAGUGGGGAAUCUUGGGCAAUGGGCGCAAGCCUGACCCAGCAACGCCGCGUGGGUGAUGAAGGCCCUCGGGUCGUAAAGCCCUGUCAGAGGGAACGAAUGUUUCCGGGACGAAUAAUUCCCGGGAAGUGACGGUACCCUCAGAGGAAGCACCGGCUAACUCCGUGCCAGCAGCCGCGGUGAGACGGAGGGUGCUAGCGUUGUUCGGAAUUACUGGGCGUAAA
rnacentral:rRNA from 1 species